rnacentral:rRNA from 1 species
GAUGAACGCUGGCGGCGUGCCUAAUACAUGCAAGUCGAGCGAACAGACGGGGAGCUUGCUCCUCUGACGUUAGCGGCGGACGGGUGAGUAACACGUGGAUAACCUACCUAUAAGACUGGGAUAACUUCGGGAAACCGGAGCUAAUACCGGAUAAUAUAUUGAACCGCAUGGUUCAAUAGUGAAAGACGGUCUUGCUGUCACUUAUAGAUGGAUCCGCGCCGCAUUAGCUAGUUGGUAAGGUAACGGCUUACCAAGGCAACGAUGCGUAGCCGACCUGAGAGGGUGAUCGGCCACACUGGAACUGAGACACGGUCCAGACUCCUACGGGAGGCAGCAGUAGGGAAUCUUCCGCAAUGGGCGAAAGCUUGACGGAGCAACGCCGCGUGAGUGAUGAAGGUCUUCGGAUCGUAAAACUCUGUUAUUAGGGAAGAACAAAUGUGUAAGUAACUAUGCACGUCUUGACGGUACCUAAUCAGAAAGCCACGGCUAACUACGUG